UACGGAGGGUGCAAGCGUUAUCCGGAUUCACUGGGUUUAAAGGGUGCGUAGGCGGAUAGGUAAGUCCGUGGUGAAAUCCUGCAGCUUAACUGCAGAACUGCCAUGGAUACUAUUUAUCUUGAAUGUCGCGGAGGUUAGCAGAAUAUGUCAUGUAGCGGUGAAAUGCUUAGAUAUGACAUAGAAUACCCAUUGCGAAGGCAGCUAACUACGCGAUAAUUGACGCUGAUGCACGAAAGCGUGGGGAUCAAACAGG
rnacentral:rRNA from 1 species